GUCUGGAAACAUACUGAGAAGUUGUUUCAAGAGCACAUUUCAUGACUGAUUCUUUGAGGAAAAUGUCAGUAUUUGUUCUGCUCAUAGUGAGGAAGAGGAGCUGCCGGCUGAGACUUUGAUGUGAGAGCACAAAAUCAUAGUAAUCAAGGGGAUAAAGGAAUCAACCAGGAGGUAAAUUUCAGAUAAAAUGCCAAUUCCACUCUAAGAACUUCUGCAUGAUAGAUGUCUUGAUCAUCAUAGAGGAUGAACAGUUAUUUAUUCACUGGAGCACAAGUCUGGAACCAGCCUGCCCAUACAGCAACUGAUCUAAAUGAAGAGGAAAGGGAUCAGCUCUGCUCCCUGCCAGCAAGGUCAUCUGGGACCUGCUCCCAUGUGUCACCCAGAGAAGACAUUUAGCUGCAUUGCCACCAGGUUGACCCUGAGCCCAAACUUUCUGGCAGGUAUGUGCUGGGAUCAGUCUGGCUACUGAGCUGAUUCUUUGACAGCAAGCAGGUUGAACUGACCUUAAGGAGCUGGCUUACCAGAAAAGUCUUCAAGUGUCCCACCGAAAGGAAGGGUGAUAUCUCAGUAUGCUAUUAUGCAGGAGGUCACAGAUGUCACUGAGGAUCCUCUACCUUCUAACAUGUCAAAGGUUCAUUUUCAUAACCAAAGGUUCAAAAGUAUCUCAGGUCCAUUCAUGAGGUUUUACAAACUUAUUCAUACCAGAACCUUGUAUGCCAGAACUGCUUCCCAGGUGUUCCCUUGUAGACUAAAAAGGAUAGUUCUCACAAUAUUAGUGUCAAGACAUUAGUUACAUCUAUCUUUGUUCUGCAAACAAUUUCAAGAAGAGCAAGAAGUUAUUUUGCUCCAAGGGGCAUAUACCUCUGUCCUUGUCAGUAAGCCAAAACUUUCUAGAAACAGAUGGAGUUCAUAGCUUUCCACUAAACGCUUCUGAGAAGUAGCUCAGUCUUGGUCUUGUGACUUUAUCUAACUUUCUAGUGGCCACCAAAUGAAAGCCAGUAAAAGAACUUUUCUGCAUCAGAUGGAAGAGUUGACAAAGCUAGGGCAGGCAGUAUAGGCAGAGUAUAUCCAGACUAUAUCCAGAAACAAGAGACAUUUUCAAGAUGUCUGAAAGACACAUUUGCUAAGGGGCCCUAUCCAAAGCUUACUACUAGGCUGUCCAACAGAAUUUCAAGGGAACAACACAACCCUUGGACACCACAAAAAAAGUAAGGCAGAGUCUCAGAGAAGGAUCAUUCCAGAGUGUCAUGAAAUCAUAAUGCACAUCAAGGUGAAAAUGGGGAAGCCUUGAUACAAAUCUUUUAUUGCAUACCAUGAGGUAACAAUACUCCUUCCCACACCAUGGCAAGACUCUGGUCAUCACAGAAAGAAUGUUGCAAACACAGAGAAAAUGGUUCAAAUUUGAAAAUCAAGUCUGCGUGGCUGAAACCGACACUUUUUCACUCUGAUAUGUGAAAAAUAUUUGGCUCCUGCCUAACCAUCAUACUGCUACCUGUAAAGACAUGCUAGAAGAAAACUGUUCUAGGCAGUGUAGUUAAAAGCAUGCCAUUUGCUUCAAAAGAUGUGCAUGCUGCAUGAUCCAUUGAGUCAACCUGGGAAUUAACUGGUUCCAUUAUUUUCUCUUUCCUGUUUGUAAGAGUUUUGUACAAGUGUUCUAGCAAAUAUUCUCAUGUAUUUACUUGCAUUUUAUAUGAGAUUUUCUAAUGAAGUAAAUAUUAUUUUAAUUAUGUGGCACUUUUCAGUAAUUACUGCUAUAAUCUGUUUCUUUUUAUAAUCCCAGACUCUAAGACUAUAGCUAUCUACACUGGUAUAACUUGCAAUAUUCCAUACCAAACAACAA